GACGAACGCUGGCGGCGUGCCUAAUACAUGCAAGUAGAACGCUGAAGGAGGAGCUUGCUCUUCUGGAUGAGUUGCGAACGGGUGAGUAACGCGUAGGUAACCUGCCUGGUAGCGGGGGAUAACUAUUGGAAACGAUAGCUAAUACCGCAUAACAGUAGAUGUUGCAUGACAUUUACUUAAAAGGUGCAAUUGCAUCACUACCAGAUGGACCUGCGUUGUAUUAGCUAGUUGGUGGGGUAACGGCUCACCAAGGCGACGAUACAUAGCCGACCUGAGAGGGUGAUCGGCCACACUGAGACUGAGACACGGCCCAGACUCCUACGGGAGGCAGCAGUAGGGAAUCUUCGGCAAUGGACGGAAGUCUGACCGAGCAACGCCGCGUGAGUGAAGAAGGUUUUCGGAUCGUAAAGCUCUGUUGUAAGAGAAGAACGAGUGUGAGAGUGGAAAGUUCACACUGUGACGGUAUCUUACCAGAAAGGGACGGCUAACUACGUG
rnacentral:rRNA from 1 species